CUUAGAAGAUGAACGGUAAUUGGAAUGAGAUUCUUGGAAGAGACCAAAAGUUGGAACAAAAAAGAGUUUGUUUUUUGAUAAUUGGUAUGAGUUGUUGUGGGACUAUGUUCCAAGUUCCAACACCGAGUGUGUGUGUUUUCAGAACCGUAAAAAUGUUGUAAUUUAAGGUUUAUUGUUUUUAACGGCGGUUUCGGUGUUGUGCUGGUUCAUUUCAUAUUCAUUUCACGAGAUUGAAUUGACUUGAAUUGAAUUGAAAUUGAAAAGAAACUUAAGAAAGUAAUUAAAGUCUUUUUUGUAGCUGAGCUGUAUAUGUAGGGACUCUACUCUAC
rnacentral:lncRNA from 1 species